rnacentral:rRNA from 1 species
CCUACGGGAGGCAGCAGUGAGGAAUAUUGGUCAAUGGACGGAAGUCUGAACCAGCCAUGCCGCGUGCAGGAAGACGGCUCUAUGAGUUGUAAACUGCUUUUGUACAAGGGUAAACCUGAAUACGUGUAUUCAGCUGAAAGUACUGUACGAAUAAGGAUCGGCUAACCCCGUGCCAGCAGCCGCGGGAAUACGGAGGAUCCAAGCGUUAUUCGGAAUGACUGGGCGUAACGGGUGCGUAGGUGGUUUGACAAGGUGGUAGCGUAACUCCCGGGCUCAACCUCGGCCCUACUACCAAAACUGUCGGACUUGAGUGCAGGAGGGGCAAAUGGAAUUCCUAGUGUAGCGGUGGAAUGCGUAGAUAUUAGGAGGAACACCAGUGGCGAAGGCGAUUUGCUGGACUGUAACUGACACUGAGGCACGAAAGCGUGGGGAGCAAACAGGAUUAGAUAUCUCUGUAGUC